AUUGAAACACCGGUCCUCGUGCGAUCACCGAAGUUAAGCAACGUUACGUCUGGUCGAGUACCUGCAAAGGUGACCGCUUAAGAAUACCAGGUAUUGUAU